AAUACAUUGUUUCUUUUUAGGUAAAACAGUUAUCAUUAAGUGGGGGUAAAAAUCUAGCUGAUACAAUUAAAAGUAUUUUGCUCUUACUGCCAACAGACACUAUUUUGUCCAAAUACAGCAUGAAUUGUCUAAAGAAGAAAAAAAAAUUUAAAGAGUUGACAAGUCUAUGUUACGCUGUCACUGAAGCUGCUUUAAAGUCAAAUAAAAACUUAAUCAUAAUGGAUACCAUCCAACUUAUUGGAAAAGUAAUUAGGCAUUCUUCUGACCGAGUAAAGAGAACAUCCACUAAUAUGGAUUUCGAUCAAUGAUGGCUUAAUUAACUGUUGAAUU
rnacentral:lncRNA from 1 species